rnacentral:rRNA from 1 species
AAUGAACGCUGGCGGCGUGCUUCAGACAUGCAAGUCGUACGCGAAAGUCCGCAAGGAUGAGUAAAGUGGCGCACGGGUGAGUAAUACUUAGGUAAUGCGCCUUCUCGCUGAGAAUAACCAGGCGAAAGCUUGGCUAAUACUGAAUAAUCCGGCCGAAACUGCGGUUUCAGUCGGGAAAGUCGUAAGACGCGAGAAGAGUGGCCUGAGUCUCAUUAGCUAGUUGGAGGGUAAUGGCCUACCAAGGCAACGAUGGGUAGCUGGUCUGAGAGGACGAUCAGCCACACUGGAACUGGAACACGGUCCAGACUCCUACGGGAGGCAGCAGUAAGGAAUAUUGCGCAAUGGGCGAAAGCCUGACGCAGCGACGCCGCGGUGGGG